rnacentral:rRNA from 1 species
GCAAGUCGAACGGUAAAAGAAGCGAUUGCUAUGGAUGAAGAGUGGCGGACGGGUGAGUAACAUAUCGGAACGUAUCCAAUAAUGGGGGAUAACUAGCCGAAAGGUUGGCUAAUACCGCAUACGCCCUUAGGGGGAAAGCUGGGGAUCUUCGGACCUGGCGUUAAUGGAGCGGCCGAUACCUGAUUAGCUAGUUGGUGGGGUAAUGGCCUACCAAGGCAACGAUCAGUAGCUGGUCUGAGAGGACGACC